rnacentral:rRNA from 1 species
UGGGGAAUAUUGCGCAAUGGGGGGAACCCUGACGCAGCCAUGCCGCGUGAAUGAAGAAGGCCUUAGGGUUGUAAAGUUCUUUCGGUAUUGAGGAAGGUUGAUGUGUUAAUAGCACAUCAAAUUGACGUUAAAUACAGAAGAAGCACCGGCUAACUCCGUGCCAGCAGCCGCGGUAAUACGGAGGGUGCGAGCGUUAAUCGGAAUAACUGGGCGUAAAGGGCACGCAGGCGGUUAUUUAAGUGAGGUGUGAAAGCCCCGGGCUUAACCUGGGAAUUGCAUUUCAGACUGGGUAACUAGAGUACUUUAGGGAGGGGUAGAAUUCCACGUGUAGCGGUGAAAUGCGUAAAGAUGUGGAGGAAUACCGAAGGCGAAGGCAGCCCCUUGGGAAUGUACUGACGCUCAUGUGCGAAAGCGUGGGGAGCAAACAGGAUUAGAUACCCUGGUAGUCCACGCUGUAAACGCUGUCGAUUUGGGGGUUGGGGUUUAACUCUGGCGCCCGUAGCUAACGUGAUAAAUCGACCGCCUGGGGAGUACGGCCGCAAGGUUA